rnacentral:rRNA from 1 species
GACGAACGCUGGCGGCGUGCUUAACACAUGCAAGUCGAACGGAAAGGCCCUGCUUUUGUGGGGUGCUCGAGUGGCGAACGGGUGAGUAACACGUGAGUAACCUGCCCUUGACUUUGGGAUAACUUCAGGAAACUGGGGCUAAUACCGGAUAGGAGCUCCUGCUGCAUGGUGGGGGUUGGAAAGUUUCGGCGGUUGGGGAUGGACUCGCGGCUGAUCAGCUUGUUGGUGGGGUAGUGGCUUACCAAGGCUUUGACGGGUAGCCGGCCUGAGAGGGUGACCGGGCACAUUGGGACUGCGGUACGGCCCAGACUCCUACGGGGGGCAACAGUGGGGAAUAUUGCACAAUGGGCGGAAGCCUGAUGCAGCAACGCCGCGUGCGGGAUGACGGCCUUCGGGUUGUAAACCGCUUUCGCCUGUGACGAAGCGUGAGUGACGGUAAUGGGUAAAGAAGCACCGGCUAACUACGUG